rnacentral:rRNA from 1 species
CCUACGGGCGGCAGCAGUGAGGAAUAUUGGUCAAUGGACGCGAGUCUGAACCAGCCAAGUAGCGUGAAGGAUGACUGCCCUAUGGUUGUUAAACUUCUUUUAUAAAGGAAUAAAACGUGGCACGUGUGCCUGUUUGCAUGUACUUUAUGAAUAAGGAUCGGCUAACUCCGUGCCAGCAGCCGCGGUAAUACGGAGGAUCCAAGCGUUAUCCGGAUUUACUGGGCGUAAAGCUCUCGUAGGCGGUAUGUCAAGUCAAGGGUGAACUCCCCGCGCUCAACGUGGGAACUGCUUUUGAAACUGGCAAACUGGAGUGUAGGAGAGGAUAGUGGAAUUCCAGGUGUAGGAGUGAAAUGCGUAGAUAUCUGGAGGAACAUCAGUGGCGAAGGCGACUAUCUGGCACAUAACUGACGCUGAGGAGCGAAAGCGUGGGUAGCAAACAGGAUUAGAUACCCCGGUAGUC